rnacentral:sRNA from 1 species
GCCAGGUGUGGUGGCACACACCUGAAAUCCCAGUGGCUAGGGAGGCUGAGGCAGGAGGAUCACAAGUUCAAAGCCAGCCUCAGCAAAAUUGAGGUGCAACUCAGUGAGACCCUGUCUCUA